UCAGUUCGGACUGUAGGCUGCAACUCGCCUACACGAAGCUGGAAUCGCUAGUAAUCGCGGAUCAGCACGCCGCGGUGAAUACGUUCCCGGGCCUUGUACACACCGCCCGUCACACCAUGAGAGUCUGUAACACCCAAAGCCGGUGGGGUAACCUUUUGGAGCCAGCCGUCUAAGGUGGGACAGAUGAUUGGGGUGAAGUCGUAACAAGGUAGC
rnacentral:rRNA from 1 species